rnacentral:rRNA from 1 species
AUUGAACGCUGGCGGCAGGCCUAACACAUGCAAGUCGAGCGGAUGAUGGUAGCUUGCUCUCUGAUUCAGCGGCGGACGGGUGCGUAAUGCCUAGGAAUCUGCCUGGUAGUGGGGGACAACGUUUCGAAAGGAACGCUAAUACAGCAUACGCCCUACGGGAGAAAGUGGGGGAUCUUCGGACCUCACGCUAUCAGAUGAGCCUAGGUACGAUUAGCUAGUUGGUAAGGUAAAAGCUCACCCAUGGGACGAUCGUUACAUGGUCUGAGAGGAUGAUCAGUCACACUGGAACUAAGACACGGUCCAGACUCCUACGGGAGGCAGCAAUUGGGAAUAUUGGACACUGGGCGAAAGCCUGAUCCAGCCAUGCCGCGUGUGUGACGAAGGUCUUCGGAUUGUAAAGCACUUUAAGUUGGGAGGAAGGGCAGUAAGUUAAUACCUUGCUGUUUUGACGUUACCGACAGAAUAAGCACCAGCUAACUUCGUGCCAGCCGCCGCACUAA